rfam:Aedes albopictus isolate Foshan contig44769, whole genome shotgun sequence.
UGUUCUGUGGCUUAGUUGAUUAAAGCGUCGAACUAUCGAUACGGAGUCGUGGGUUCGAAUCGCAUCAAAACAA